GACGAACGCUGGCGGCGUGCUUAACACAUGCAAGUCGAACGGAAAGGCCCUGCUUUUGUGGGGUGCUCGAGUGGCGAACGGGUGAGUAACACAUGAGUAACCUGCCCUUGACUUUGGGAUAACUUCAGGAAACUGGGGCUAAUACCGGAUAGGAGCUCCUGCUGCAUGGGGGGGGUUGGAAAGUUUCGGCGGUUGGGGAUGGACUCGCGGCUUAUCAGCUUGUUGGUGGGGUAGUGGCUUACCAAGGCUUUGACGGGUAGCCGGCCUGAGAGGGUGACCGGCCACAUUGGGACUGAGAUACGGCCCAGACUCCUACGGGAGGCAGCAGUGGGGAAUAUUGCACAAUGGGCGGAAGCCUGAUGCAGCAACGCCGCGUGCGGGAUGACGGCCUUCGGGUUGUAAACCGCUUUCGCCUGUGACGAAGCGUGAGUGACGGUAAUGGGAAAAGAAGCACCGGCUAACUACGUG
rnacentral:rRNA from 1 species